UACGAAGGGGGCUAGCGUUGUUCGGAAUUACUGGGCGUAAAGCGUGCGCAGGCGGUGAUGUAAGACAGGUGUGAAAUCCCCGGGCUUAACCUGGGAACUGCAUUUGUGACUGCAUCGCUGGAGUGCGGCAGAGGGGGAUGGAAUUCCGCGUGUAGCAGUGAAAUGCGUAGAUAUGCGGAGGAACACCGAUGGCGAAGGCAAUCCCCUGGGCCUGCACUGACGCUCAUGCACGAAAGCGUGGGGAGCAAACAGG
rnacentral:rRNA from 1 species